rnacentral:rRNA from 1 species
AACAAACGCUGGCGGCGUGCCUAAUACAUGCAAGUCGAACGGGGAAAGCUUUCGGGUGAGUACUAGUGGCGCACGGGUGAGUAACGCGUGGAUAAUCUGCCUUAGAGUGGGGGAUAACUAGUCGAAAGAUUAGCUAAUACCGCAUAAGACCACAAGAACUGCGGUUCAAGAGGUCAAAGGUUUUUCGCUCUAAGAUGAGUCCGCGUAAGAUUAGCUAGUUGGUGAGGUAACGGCUCACCAAGGCAACGAUAUUUAACUGGUCUGAGAGGAUGAACAGUCACACUGGAACUGAGACACGGUCCAGACUACUACGGGAGGCAGCAGUAGGGAAUAUUGCACAAUGGAGGAAACUCUGAUGCAGCGACGCCGCGUGAGUGAUGAAGGCCUUCGGGUCGUAAAGCUCUGUCGCAGGGGAAUAACACAAUGAAUGUACCCUGUAAGAAAGGAUCGGCUAACUUCGUGCCAGCCGCCGCCGUAAUAC